rnacentral:rRNA from 1 species
CCUGGUUGAUUCUGCCAGUAGUCAUAUGCUUGUCUCAAAGAUUAAGCCAUGCAUGUCUAAGUAUAAGCAAUCAUACUGUGAAACUGCGAAUGGCUCAUUAAAUCAGUUAUCGUUUAUUUGAUAGUACCUUUACCUGGAUAACCGUGGUAAUUCUAGAGCUAAUACAUGCUAAAAACCUCGACUUCGGAAGGGGUGUAUUUAUUAGAUAAAAAACCAAUGCCCUUCGGGGCUCCUUGGUGAUUCAUAAUAACUUAACGAAUCGCAUGGCCUUGCGCCGGCGAUGGUUCAUUCAAAUUUCUGCCCUAUCAACUUUCGAUGGUAAGAUAGUGGCUUACCAUGGUCUCAACGGGUAACGGGGAAUUAGGGUUCUAUUCCGGAGAGGGAGCCUGAGAAACGGCUACCACAUCCAAGGAAGGCAGCAGGCGCGCAAAUUACCCAAUCCCAAUUCGGGGAGGUAGUGACAAUAAAUACUGAUACGGGGCUCUUUCGGGUCUCGUAAUUGGAAUGAGUACAAUCUAAAUCCCUUAACGAGGAACAAUUGGAGGGCAAGUCUGGUGCCAGCAGCCGCGGUAAUUCCAGCUCCAAUAGCGUAUAUUAAAGUUGUUGCCGUUAAAAAGCUCGUAGUUGAACCUUGGACCUGGCUGAUCUGUCCUCCUAAUCGAGCGCACGGAUUCGGUCGGGUCUUUCCUUCUGGGGAGCCCUAUGCCCUUCACUGGGUGUAGUGGGGAACCAGGACUUUUACCUUGAAAAAAUUAGAGUGUUCAAAGCAGGCCUUUGCUCGAAUACAUUAGCAUGGAAUAAUAGAAUAGGACAUCGGUUCUAUUUUGUUGGUUUCUAGGACCGCUGUAAUGAUUAAUAGGGAUAGUCGGGGGCGUCAGUAUUCAAUUGUCAGAGGUGAAAUUCUUGGAUUUAUUGAAGACUAACUACUGCGAAAGCAUUCGCCAAGGAUGUUUUCAUUAAUCAGUGAACGAAAGUUAGGGGAUCGAAGACGAUCAGAUACCGUCGUAGUCUUAACCAUAAACUAUGCCGACUAGGGAUCGGACGGUGGUUUUUUUAUGCCCCGUUCGGCACCUUACGAGAAAUCAAAGUUUUUGGGCUCGGGGGGGAGUAUGGUCGCGAGGCUGAAACUUAAAGAAAUUGACGGAAGGGCACCACCAGGCGUGGAGCCUGCGGCUUAAUUUGACCCAACACGGGGAAACUCACCAGGUCCAGACAUGCUUAGGAUUGACAGAUUGAUAGCUCUUUCUUGAUUGUAUGGGUGGUGGUGCAUGGCCGUUCUUAGUUGGUGGAGUGAUUUGUCUGCUUAAUUGCGAUAACGAACGAGACCUUGACCUGCUAAAUAGCCAGGUUGACUUUUGUCGGCCGCCGGCUUCUUAGAGGGACUUUUGGCUCAAGCCAAUGGAAG